rnacentral:rRNA from 1 species
GACGAACGCUGGCGGCGUGCUUAACACAUGCAAGUCGAGCGCUGAAGCUCAGCUUUUGUUGGGUGGAUGAGUGGCGAACGGGUGAGUAACACGUGAGUAACCUGCCUCCUUCUUUGGGAUAACGCCCGGAAACGGGUGCUAAUACUGGAUAUUCACUGGUCCUCGCAUGGGGGUUGGUGGAAAGGGUUUUUCUGGUGGGGGAUGGGCUCGCGUCCUAUCAGCUUGUUGGUGGGGUGAUGGCCUACCAUGGCCUUGACGGGUAGCGGGACUGAGAGGGUGAGCGGUCAGAUUGGGACUGAGAUCCGGCGCAGACUCCUACGGGAGGCAGCCGUAGGGAAUAUUGCACAAUGGGCGAAAGCCUGAUGCAGCGACGCCGCGUGAGGGAUGGAGGCCUGCGGGUUGUGAACCUCUGUCGCUCAUGGUCAAGCCGCAACAAUGGUUGUGGUGAGGGUAGUGGGUAAAGAAGCGCCGUCUAACUACG